GAGUUUGAUCCUGGCUCAGGACGAACGCUGGCGGCGCGCCUAACACAUGCAAGUCGAACGGAGCUUAGAGAGCUUGCUUUUUAAGCUUAGUGGCGAACGGGUGAGUAACGCGUGGGCAACCUGCCUCAUAGAGGGGAAUAGCCUUCCGAAAGGGAGAUUAAUACCGCAUAAGAUUGUAGUACCGCAUGGUACAGCAAUUAAAGGAGCAAUCCGCUACGAGAUGGGCCCGCGGCGCAUUAGCUAGUUGGUGAGGUAACGGCUCACCAAGGCGACGAUGCGUAGCCGACCUGAGAGGGUGAUCGGCCACAUUGGGACUGAGACACGGCCCAGACUCCUACGGGAGGCAGCAGUGGGGAAUAUUGCACAAUGGGGGAAACCCUGAUGCAGCAACGCCGCGUGAGUGAUGACGGCCUUCGGGUUGUAAAGCUCUGUCUUCAGGGACGAUAAUGACGGUACCUGAGGAGGAAGCCACGGCUAACUACGUGCCAGCAGCCGCGGUAAUUC
rnacentral:rRNA from 1 species